rnacentral:rRNA from 1 species
GUGAGUAACACGUGGGUAACCUGCCUGUAAGACUGGGAUAACUCCGGGAAACCGGAGCUAAUACCGGAUAGUUCCUUGAACCGCAUGGUUCAAGGAUGAAAGACGGUUUCGGCUGUCACUUACAGAUGGACCCGCGGCGCAUUAGCUAGUUGGUGGGGUAAUGGCUCACCAAGGCGACGAUGCGUAGCCGACCUGAGAGGGUGAUCGGCCACACUGGGACUGAGACACGGCCCAGACUCCUACGGGAGGCAGCAGUAGGGAAUCUUCCGCAAUGGACGAAAGUCUGACGGAGCAACGCCGCGUGAGUGAUGAAGGUUUUCGGAUCGUAAAGCUCUGUUGUUAGGGAAGAACAAGUGCGAGAGUAACUGCUCGCACCUUGACGGUACCUAACCAGAAAGCCACGGCUAACUACGUGCCAGCAGCCGCGGUAAUACGUAGGUGGCAAGCGUUGUCCGGAAUUAUUGGGCGUAAAGGGCUCGCAGGCGGUUUCUUAAGUCUGAUGUGAAAGCCCCCGGCUCAACCGGGGAGGGUCAUUGGAAACUGGGAAACUUGAGUGCAGAAGAGGAGAGUGGAAUUCCACGUGUAGCGGUGAAAUGCGUAGAGAUGUGGAGGAACACCAGUGGCGAAGGCGACUCUCUGGUCUGUAACUGACGCUGAGGAGCGAAAGCGUGGGGAGCGAACAGGAUUAGAUACCCUGGUAGUCCA